rnacentral:rRNA from 1 species
AGUGACACUGCGCCGAAAAUGUACCGGGGCUAAACAUAUUACCGAAGCUGUGGAUUGUCCUUUGGACAAUGGUAGGAGAGCGUUCUAAGGGCGUUGAAGCAUGAUCGUAAGGACAUGUGGAGCGCUUAGAAGUGAGAAUGCCGGUGUGAGUAGCGAAAGACGGGUGAGAAUCCCGUCCACCGAUUGACUAAGGUUUCCAGAGGAAGGCUCGUCCGCUCUGGGUUAGUCGGGUCCUAAGCUGAGGCCGACAGGCGUAGGCGAUGGAUAACAGGUUGAUAUUCCUGUACCACCUAUAAUCGUUUUAAUCGAUGGGGGGACGCAGUAGGAUAGGCGAAGCGUGCGAUUGGAUUGCACGUCUAAGCAGUAAGGCUGAGUAUUAGGCAAAUCCGGUACUCGUUAAGGCUGAGCUGUGAUGGGGAGAAGACAUUGAGUCUUCGAGUCGUUGAUUUCACACUGCCGAGAAAAGCCUCUAGAUAGAAAAUAGG